GCAGCACACGACCGCCGACGUCGUUCGGCAGGCCAUCAUACCGGCCUCUGCCGCUGAGGCCCGCGCCUACGCUGAGGUGCUUCCAGGCGGGCCCCUGCGGCCAGACCGGAUGGUGACCCAUGCUUGGGGUGGCCUCUUCUCCACGCUGGUCUCCGCCGUUGUCUCCGAUGCG
rnacentral:SRP_RNA from 1 species